rnacentral:rRNA from 1 species
AUUGAACGCUGGCGGCAUGCUUUACACAUGCAAGUCGAACGGUAACAGGCCGCAAGUUGCUGACGAGUGGCGAACGGGUGAGUAAUGCAUCGGAACGUGCCCAGUCGUGGGGGAUAACUACUCGAAAGAGUAGCUAAUACCGCAUACGAUCUAUGGAUGAAAGCGGGGGACCGUAAGGCCUCGCGCGAUUGGAGCGGCCGAUGUCAGAUUAGGUAGUUGGUGGGGUAAAGGCUCACCAAGCCAACGAUCUGUAGCUGGUCUGAGAGGACGACCAGCCACACUGGAACUGAGACACGGCCCAGACUCCUACGGGAGGCAGCAGUGGGGAAUUUUGGACAAUGGGCGCAAGCCUGAUCCAGCAAUGCCGCGUGCAGGAAGAAGGCCUUCGGGUUGUAAACUGCUUUUGUAAGGAACGAAACGGCUCUGGUUAAUACCCGGGGCUAAUGACGGUACCGUAAGAAUAAGCACCGGCUAACUACGUG